rnacentral:rRNA from 1 species
UACGUAGGGGGCAAGCGUUAUCCGGAUUUACUGGGUGUAAAGGGAGCGCAGGCGGCGCGUUAAGUCUGAUGUGAAAACCCGCGGCUCAACUGCGGGACUGCAUUGGAAACUGCCAUGCUGGAGUGCCGGAGAGGUAAGCGGAAUUCCUAGUGUAGCGGUGAAAUGCGUAGAUAUUAGGAGGAACACCAGUGGCGGAGGCGGCUUACUGGACGGUAACUGACGCUGAGGCUCGAAAGCGUGGGGAGCAAACAGG